AGGGGANUACGAGCAACGCUUAAAACCCAAAGGACUUGACGGUACCCCACAUCCACCUAGAGGAGCCUGUCCUAUAAUUGAUGACCCCCGCUAAACCUUACCAUUUUUUGCCUGUCAGCUUGUAUACUUCCGUCUUCAGCUUACCUCGUGAGCGUAACUCAGUGAGCUUAACGCCAACUCCGCCAAUAAGUCAGGUCAAAGUGCAGCUAAUAAAGUGGAAAGAGAUGGGCUACNCUCUCUAACCUAGAGGAUACNAAAGACUAUGCUGAAAUCAUACCAAAAGGCGGAUUUA
rnacentral:rRNA from 1 species